rnacentral:misc_RNA from 1 species
GUGAGUCAUCGAAUCUUUGAACGCACAUUGCGCCCCUUGGUAUUCCGAGGGGCAUGCCUGUUCGAGCGUCAUUUCACCACUCAAGCUCUGCUUGGUAUUGGGCGCCGUCCUUCACCGGACGCGCCUCAAAGACCUCGGCGGUGGCGUCUUGCCUCAAGCGUAGUAGAAAACACCUCGCUUUGGAGGACGGGACGUUCGCUCGCCGGACGAACCUUCUGAAUUUUCUCAAGGUUGACCUCGGAUCAGGUAGGGAUACCCGCUGAACUUAAGCAUAUCAAUAAGCGGAGGA